rnacentral:rRNA from 1 species
AACGCACCUUGCGCCCUUUGGUAUUCCGAAGGGCAUGCCUGUUUGAGUGUCAUUAAAUUAUCAACCUUGCUCGCUUUUACCGGCUUGAGUUAGGCUUGGAUGUGAGGGCUUUGCUGGCUUCCUUCAGUGGAUGGUCUGCUCCCUUUAAAUGCAUUAGUGGGAUCUCUUGUGGACCGUCACUUGGUUGUGAUAAUUAUCUACGCCAUUUGACUUUGAAGCAAACUUAUGGGAACCUGCUUAUAACCGUCCUUUCGAGGACAAUCUUUGACAUUUUGACCUCAAAUCAGGUAGGACUACCCGCUGAACUUAA